UGUGGGCCUGGGAUCUACCUCCUG
rnacentral:piRNA from 1 species